ACCUGUCAUACUCCACCAUAAAGUGUAUCGCCACUUAGAAUAAACCAUUCUAAGAAUUUCCACUUCGGCUCAUGUCGAAAAAAUACCUUGCUGAUUAUUAUGGUGCAACCUCCACUAUUGGAUCUCCUUGGAAGUCCAUCAGCUAUCGACAUAACUGUUUCAUCACACACCUUGCAUUCCUGCCAAACCAAUGCCCGUGUGUAAUUCUGAAUUUCCACUUCGGCUCAUGUCGAAAAAAUACCUUGCUGAUUAUUAUGGUGCAACCUCCACUAUUGCCUCUCCUUGGAAGUCAAUAAGCUAUCGACAUAACUGUUUCAUCACACACCUUGCAUUCCUGCCAAACCAUGCCAAUGUGUAAUUCCGCUAUUAAUCUCACAUCUUUCACCAUGGCAAAUAGUGGCAUGCCAUAAGGAUGUACAUGUAUUUGGGUCAUAUAAGGUCAUAUGGGUCCCUAUCAAAGACCAUAUUAACAGCAUCACUUGACUUGGAGCCUGUAGCCGAACUUGCUCCAUCUACUUCUGGUUUUCCCUUCACGGCCUUGUGUAGACCUGAUUGAAUCAAUAUAUCCCUGACUUGAACUUGCCACAAGCCAAAAUUGAUUCUUCCAUCAAAUUUCUCAAUAUCAAACUUGAUGCUUCCCAUUGUAACCGUAUCGCUGACCAAUAUCUGUGGAUGAAAAACACUUGCUUAGAACCUUGUCUGUAGCUCGUGAACAGCACACCAUGUAAGUUCCCAAGAAAGAGAGGUGGGUC
rnacentral:lncRNA from 1 species